rnacentral:rRNA from 1 species
GAUGAACGCUAGCUACAGGCUUAACACAUGCAAGUCGUGGGGCAGCAUGGUGUAGCAAUACACUGAUGGCGACCGGCGCACGGGUGAGUAACGCGUAUGCAACCUACCCAGUACAGGGGGAUAGCCCGGAGAAAUUCGGAUUAAUACCCCAUAAUGAUAUAGAGAGGCAUCUUUUUAUAUUUAAAGCUACGGCGGUACUGGAUGGGCAUGCGUAAGAUUAGCUAGUUGGUAGGGUAACGGCCUACCAAGGCUCCGAUCUUUAGGGGUCCUGAGAGGGUGAUCCCCCACACUGGUACUGAGACACGGACCAGACUCCUACGGGAGGCAGCAGUGAGGAAUAUUGGUCAAUGGGCGCAAGCCUGAACCAGCCAUCCCGCGUGAAGGAAGAAGGCGCUAUGCGUUGUAAACUUCUUUUCCGGAGGAAUAAAAUUUUGUACGAGUACAGGACUGAAGGUACUCCGGGAAUAAGCAUCGGCUAACUCCGUGCCAGCCGCCGCAGUAAAAC